GACGAACGCUGGCGGCGUGCCUAAUACAUGCAAGUCGAACGAUGAAGCUUGGUGCUUGCACUACUCUGGAGUGCAGCGGACGGGUGGGUCACGCGUGGGGAAUCUGCCUUUGAGCGGGGGACAACAUUUGGAAACGAAUGCUAAUACCGCAUAAUAACUUUAAACAUAAGUUUUGAGUUUGAAAGAUGCAUUUGCUUCACUCAAAGAUGAUCCCGCGGUGUAUUAGUUAGUUGGUGAGUUAAAGGCUCACCAAGGCGAUGAUAGAUAGCCGACCUGAGGGGGGGAUCGGCCACAUUGAGACUGAGACACCGCCCAAAGUCCUAGGGGAGGCAGCAGUAGGGAAUCGUCGGCAAUGGGCGGAAGUCUGAACGAGCAACGCCGCGUGAGUGAAGAAGGUUUUCGGGUCGGAAAACUCUGUUGGUAGAGAAGAACGAUGGUGAGAGUGAAAAGCGCAUCAUGUGACGGUAACUACCCAGAAAGCGACGGCUAACUACGUG
rnacentral:rRNA from 1 species